GUUUUCGUGUUUUCCCGGGGGAAAGGGGGGCGGCGGAGGCCGAGCCGACCCAGGAGGGAAAGUCCGGGGCCCAACCCCCGGGCUGUUUUGGGUCUGCAUGGUUGGAGUACAGAAGGGCAGGCGGGAUUCCUAGGUAGUCGGUGAAAUGUGUAGAUAUUAGGAGGAACACCGGAGGCGAAGGCGGCCUGCCGGACCGCGACCCACGCUGUGGCUAGAGAGUGCGGGGAGCAAACAGGAUUAGAUACCCUGGUAGUCCACGCCGUAUACGAUGACUGCUAGCUGUCGGGGGAUGACAGUGCCCCGGUCCCCCCGCGAACGCAGUAAGCAGUCCACAUGGGGAGUACGUUGGCAUGAAGGAAAGUCAAAGUAAUUGUCGGGGACCCGCACAAGCGGUGGAGCAUGUGGUUUAUUUUUCGGCCACGCGGAGAACCUUCCCCAGCCUUGCCAUCCCGGCGGGAACUGGGCCAUGCCCGCCUCCCUUCGGGGUGCGGGCGACAGGUCGGGCACGGUGGUGCUCUCCUCCCUUUCUGACAGGUUGGGGAUAGUCCCGCAACGAGGGCGACCCCUACCCAUCCUAGUCAUCAGGCGGAGGUGCGCACCAUACCGCGUCAGCCUUCGAUCACCAGGCGGAAGGCGGGGGCGACGUCAAAUCAUCAUCCCCCAUAUGUCCAGGGCUACACACGUGCGGCACAGGCGCCGCCAGAGGGAAUCGAGACUCCGAUGAGGAGGGAAGCCCAAAAAAGGCGUCUCCGUUCGGAUCGCAUCCUGCAACUAGGCUGCAUGAAGCCGGAAUCGGUAGUACUCGCGGAUCAGAACGCACCCGGAGAAUACGAUCAACAGGGUCUUGCACUCACCGCCCCUCA
rnacentral:rRNA from 1 species